rnacentral:rRNA from 1 species
UACGAAGGGGGCUAGCGUUGCUCGGAAUCACUGGGCGUAAAGGGUGCGUAGGCGGGUCUUUAAGUCAGGGGUGAAAUCCUGGAGCUCAACUCCAGAACUGCCUUUGAUACUGAAGAUCUUGAGUUCGGGAGAGGUGAGUGGAACUGCGAGUGUAGAGGUGAAAUUCGUAGAUAUUCGCAAGAACACCAGUGGCGAAGGCGGCUCACUGGCCCGAGUACUGACGCUGAGGCACGAAAGCGUG